UACGAAGGGGGCUAGCGUUGCUCGGAAUUACUGGGCGUAAAGGGUGUGUAGGCGGAUACUUAAGUCGGGGGUGAAAGCCCAGGGCUCAACCCUGGAAUAGCCUUCGAUACUGGGUAUCUUGAGUUCGGGAGAGGUAAGCGGAACUCCGAGUGUAGAGGUGAAAUUCGUAGAUAUUCGGAAGAACACCAGUGGCGAAGGCGGCUUACUGGCCCGAUACUGACGCUGAGACACGAAAGCGUGGGGAGCAAACGGG
rnacentral:rRNA from 1 species